rnacentral:misc_RNA from 1 species
AAGUCGUAACAAGGUUUCCGUAGGUGAACCUGCGGAAGGUUACAUUAACACGUAUCCAACGUUAAACAACCCUGUGAACUUUUCGAGCCCAUGAAAUCAUUGCCAAACAGUUUUGAUUCGAGACCUCUGUCCAAAGGAGUUGCAAUCGAAGGGUGGAAGCAGUGGCAUGGCUUAAGCAGUUAGUGAAUGACAGUGUCACUGACUGUGUAAGGAUAACGCCUCACGGUUGCUAGAGGUCGAUCACCGACCGGCAGACAUGUCACAGGGUCACUUGAAAAUGGCCCCGCCUAGUGGUAUCUUGGUUCUC